rnacentral:rRNA from 1 species
GGGGAAUAUUGGACAAUGGGCGAAAGCCUGAUCCAGCCAUGCCGCGUGUGUGAAGAAGGCCUUCGGAUGGUAAAGCACUUUACGUUGGGAGGAGGGGUUGUAGAUGAUUACUCUGCAAUUUUGACGUUCCCGACAGAAUAAGCACCGUCUUACUUCGUGCCAGCAGCCGCGGUAAUACGAAGGGUGCAAGCGUUAAUCGGAAUUACUGGGCGUAAAGCGCGCGUAGGUGGUUCGUUAAGUUGGAUGUGAAAGCCCCGGGCUCAACCGGGAACUGCAUCCAAAACUGGCGAGCUAGAGUACGGUAGAGGGUGGUUGAAUUUCCUGUGUAGCGGUGAAAUGCGUAGAUAUAGAAAGGAACACCAGUGGCGAAGGCGACCACCUGGGCUAAUACUGACACUGAGGUGCGAAAGCGUGGGGAGCAAACA